rnacentral:snoRNA from 1 species
CAGACCAGUGGUGAAGACUGGUGGUGCAGUGGUCGUGAAUGAUGGAAAUACGUGCCUGAAACUCUGAGGUCUAG